rnacentral:lncRNA from 1 species
UAUUAGAAUAUUGGAUGAAGUCAACUAAGCCUGAGCAUAUAAAAAUCAGUUAUAAGUUUAAUUUGAUAAUCAGAUGACUGUGUGAUCUAUUAAAGUCAGUGGCAUAUACUUCAGUGUUAAAAUAAUUCAGUUUCAAAGCUGGUAAAAACAGCUAAAAGGAACAGUUUCAGUUUCAUUUCAAAAUUUCGAAUCGUGUAUAAA